UACGGAGGAUCCAAGCGUUAUCCGGAAUCAUUGGGUUUAAAGGGUCCGUAGGCGGUUUGGUAAGUCAGUGGUGAAAGCCCAUCGCUCAACGAUGGAACGGCCAUUGAUACUGCCAGACUUGAAUUACUAGGAAGUAACUAGAAUAUGUAGUGUAGCGGUGAAAUGCUUAGAUAUUACAUGGAAUACCAAUUGCGAAGGCAGCUUACUAUGGUGCAAUUGACGCUGAGGCACGAAAGCGUGGGGAUCAAACAGG
rnacentral:rRNA from 1 species